ACUUGCUAAAGGUUUUCAUCAGGAAAUAAUGAUGUUGGGAAAUCACAGCAGGAAAAACAAAUUACGCAUUUCUCAGGAAGCAAAACUGAUUCAAGUCUUUCAUGCUGAAUUUAUAUUGACAUGCUAAAAACUGUUGGUGGACCAUACAGCCAUACUAGAAAGCCAACACAUCUAAAACAGACUGAAGAACCCAGCUUUUUGUUUCUGGAGGUAAUGACUUAGCUGCAGACCUUUGUAAAUAAAUAUUUUUU
rnacentral:lncRNA from 1 species